GCUUCAAUGGCCAUCCACGGUACAGAUGGCAUAGGGGAACGUCAGAGUUUGGUGGCAUGGGUGAAAGGGAAGAUGAAUGGAGCAACUGCAGUUGCUUCGUGGAUGAAAGAAAUCCUAGACCCGUCGAUGGAAGGCGAAUAUGACAUGGGUGAGAUGGAAAUUCUAGUAGCAGUGGCUUUGCAAUGUGUGGAAUUGGACAAGGAUGAAAGACCCACCAUGAGUCAGGUGGUCGAGACGCUUCUCCGCCCCGAACGUGGAAACAAUCUUCACUACUAUUAAAUUAAUGCCUCGUAUGGGGCCCAAGUGAGGUGGCUUUCUGUACCUGUUCCGCCCAUUUAUGAUGUUUGUAAAAGAACAGAGUAAUUUUAAGUAGAAUAAUUGAGAAGCCAAAUCUUUUGAUACAACAUACAAUAUAAUUAUAUUGAAGUGUCUUUUUAAAAGAUACAACUUGGUUAUAAAUUUUAAUGUCAACCUUCUCAAAUGUUAAGUAAAAAAUUAUUUAAUUUUUUUUUAAAAAUAUCUUUAAUAUUAUGUCACUGUAUUUAAAGUAUUUUUUAAGAGGUAACUUGAUUACCAAAAUUUGAUAUUAUUUUUUAAUUCAAGUUUAUAAUUAUAAUUUAUAAAUAGUUUUUUAAUUAUUAUAAAAUACCGAACUUCUUACUAAAUCAAUUAGAAUGGAUGAUCAUCUAUUCCCUUAUAUCUCUUCAAUAUUGUUGCUACCCUCCUCCCAACUUUAUAUAAAAUAAAGAUUUUACUAAUAAAUAUUACAUAGAAUUUUAUUCCCAAUAUCUCUCCCUCGUACUCUUAUCUUACCCUCACAUAAUUUGUAACACUUCUAAGUUUUGCUCUUCAUCAUGGAACAAAUUCUUUUCUAUGUAGUAUACAUAUAUGAAAGGUAUACUACAUAUAUGAUGAAUGUGACAUUCAUUUAUUUUAAUUAUUUUUUCGGUGAUAUCAUUGCUUAGGAAAUUUUGAUGAAUGUGAAAGGGAAAUGGAAAAUUGUGGGUCACCAUAUAACAUAUAAGGACAAAAUGUAAUUUUAUUGGUCUUGCAUAGAUGGAGGUGGAAAUGGGGCAACACAUCAAAUCAGAUAUGGUGGAUGACAUGUAGAAUAAUGAUUGAAAGUGAAAUGAACGAGAGCCGCCCAGCAAAGGUCUAUUUUCAAAGUAUUUUAUUAGGUUUUUUUAUUUUAUUUUUUCAACUCAAGACCUCUUUCUGUAAAUUUAUUAUUAAAAAUAUUUGAAUCCCUAACUUUUUAUGAGUGUCUUUUCGUAAACAUGUUGACCUAAAUCAGUUGAGGUUAUGUUUGGCUCUUGGGGAAAGAAACAAAAAGACUAAAAAUAUAAUUUUUUUUUUCUCUUAUUUAUAUAUUUUUAAAUUAUUUAAUCUAAAACAAUGAAAGGUACAAAUUUUUCUAUAAUUACAAUUUAUUAAUUUUAAAUUCUUAUUUUAUUUUUAUUCAGACAUACCUUCAAUAAUUAGUAUAAAAUUAAUAUAAUGUUUCAUAUAUAAUCAAUUUACAUAUAUUAUAUAUUAUGUAUAAACACUAACAUAAUGAAUGAGAUGGUGUAUGUACAAAAAGAACGUAUGCUAGUGCAUUGGUAUAAAAUUUAAUAAAGUGUUUUAUACAUAUUUUGUAUAACUAGUAUACACCCCCUUAUACAUUGUUUCUAAAGGAAAAGAAAAUAAAUUAGAUAUAUGUGUAAAUGUGAUAUCAAUGUAUUCGUUUGGUUCGAAUCAAACAAGAAAAUUGAAAGAAAACAUUUAAAAUAUAUUUACAAUAGGAGUCUUGAAAUGUAUGUCGACAUGCAUCUCUUUUAUUAAUCAAGCAUUUUUCUACUUAACAAAAAGGUAGAAAAAUAUUUUUGUAAUGAUUUGACAUAAAAUUCAAAUAAGAAAAAAAAUAAUGUUAACAAAUAAUUUUAAUUACUGAAAAAUAAUAUUUGCAAACAUUCCUUCUUGAUAGUUGAUUGGAUUUUACAAUACACUAAUGAAACAUAUAUAUUAUGUGAAGCCUUGGACUUAUUUCACAUUUAAUUUCUUCAAAUUUUAAUGCUACAAACUAAACAUUUGUACAAAUGGUACAAGUUAGUAUCUUUUUAUGUAAUUAAUUAUUGUGAAGACAUUUUAUCUUUUUCAUUUACCCAAGAAUAAUCAUACUAAUAUAUACAAAUAAUAGUUAUACUAAUAUAAACAAAUAAUUUUGAUCAUGCCCAAAUAAAAUACAUUUUUAUAAAAUUUAGAUUUAAUUUUAUAGUAUAUGACAUAGAUUCUUUUUCUUCUUCUUCUUUCUUCUUUGCUUUAUCUCAUGUGGUUGGAUUUGGAGCAUGGACCGUUUGUAUUAUUCAAUUGUGAAAGACCAAUUUCAUUGAGUUGAAAGACCAAUGGGCCAUGGGGAGCAAUGCUUGCUUCACUUAAUUUUUUAAAACUCGUUUUUAGUAGUACAAAAUUUUUUAUCAUGUGAAGUAUGGAUGUUAUUAUCUUUUUAUAUUAAUUUUAUUUUCCUUCCCUUUUUUUAUAUUGAUUUUAUAAAAACAUAUAUGAGGAUAUUAUUUCACUAAAAACAUAUCAUAUGCAUAUAGCUUAACAUGCAACAUUUUCAUACAUAAUCAAAGAUGGAUUUUUUUUUUUUUUUAAUCACUUUUUCUCCCUUUUUUCUUUUCUUUGUAUUUUCUCAUAUACAAACACGGCUUAGAAUUUACUCACAAACAAAGUGUUAUGUUACUUUUAUGGGCAUCGAAUUUAAAGACUUGGCAUGCCGUCAUGUACAUAAGACACAAGUAGAAAGUCUCAUAUUGAAAAUUUAAUUCAUUUAAGCGUACCAUUUUUUUUUGUGAUCAUGGGUCUAAAUAUUAGCGGGGAAAGAGGCGAAUUGACGUUAUAGAAGGCCUAACGCUCAUGUUUUGUAUUUAUUAAUCAUUUAUUGAUGUGAUAAAAAAUUUGUAAUUCAAAAUUUGAUUUUAUCAAGUGAAGUACCCGAUAAACAAAAAUGGAGGAACGUAAAGGGAGGAAAAAAAAGGUGAAACGAAGACAUAUCCCAAAACACUAAUGGCCUAUCCCCUAAAAAUUCUAGCUUUAGAAUUAUUGUCCUAAAAGAAAAAGAUGAGCAAGUGUUUUCUCACGUCAUGGAGUUAUUAUAUAAUGUUAAAAAACUAAAGUAUUGUUUGCUUUCUUAAUUUUUUAUUUUGGUUUUUUUUUAAAACCUUUUGUUAACUUAUUAUUUAUUUCUCAAAAUUUUUUAUUAAAUAAAAAAAUAUAUGAUUUCUUCUAAAUAUUAAAAAUAAUUUAUUAAUUUUUUUUACUUAUUUAAUAGAAAUAAAAUAUAAAAAAAAUAAUUUAAUAUUUGAUAUUAUUAACCAUUAUUUAAUUUUAAAAUUUAUUUAAAAUUAAGUAAAAAACCAAACAUUAAAUGUCUUCAUUGCAAUGUUGGACGUUAUCUACUCUACUCUUUUAUAAAAUCUUUUAUUUUAGAAAAUUUUAGUCUCCAAAGUAGACAUGAGAGAAAUAACAAUUGUGUUAAAUUUAAUUGAAAUAAGUAAAUAAUAAAAAACACUUGAAUGGAUUAAGGACCAAUUUUUUUUAUGCCAAGGGAAGAUGGUGGUGAUAUAUUGACUUGAGUAAGAAUUUCGUAAUUUCUCAAAAGAAAGAUAAAGAGGAAAAAACAACAUUUAUUAAAAGAUAUAUACAUUAGGAUAUCAUAUUCAAAUUUAGUAUUUUUCAAACUGCACCGUUUCGUUUUUCACUUCAUCUAAUUUUACCUUCAAUUCAUUUUUUUUCCUAUUUUAUUUCUUGAAACAUGUAUUGACUAAAGCCUCUGUACCAAUGUUUCAGGACAUGGAGAGGUAGCCGUCCUCCUCCGGCCUCUCCUCCGGGCACAUAAGCUUCUCAACUAUCUGGCUCAUCGUGGGUCUUGAGUCCCUGUCUUCCUCCACACAUUCCAAGGCAACUCCAAUCAGAAUUUCCAUCCGGCGCAGGUCGCAUUCGCCUUGCAUCACAGGGUCCAGGAUGUCUUCAAUCCACGACCCCCUGGCACCAAUCCCAUUCAUUCGAUCCCUCACCCAUUUAAUCAACCCACGCUGCUCUGUCUCUCCUUGGGCAUCAGUAUCGGGGAUAGCAGUUGGGCUCUUCCCUGUCACCAUCUCCAAAACCACGAUUCCAUAGCUAUAAACGUCUACCUUGGAGGUUAUGGGAAGGUUGAAUACCCAUUCAGGAGCCAUGUAUCCUCUGGUUCCUCUGAUCCUCGAGAAACUUGAAUUGUCAAGCCCUCCUCUGUUUCGCAGUUUCGACAUCCCAAAAUCGGCCACUUUUGGCUGGUAAUUAGAGUCCAAGAGUAUGUUCUGAGGCUUGACAUCACAGUGCAGAACCCACUCCAAGCAUUCUUCGUGUAAAUAAGCUAGGCCUCUGGCCGUGCCAAGCGCUAUUUGGAACCUCUUCUCCCAAUCAAGAGUAUUGGAAGAUAGCUUUUGUGCCAAGGAUCCAUGUUCCAUGUACUCAUACACCAACAGCCGGUGCUUCCCCUCUAUGCAAUAUCCCCACGUCUCUAUUAAGUUCAUGUGAUUAAGCCUUCCAAUGGUGCUCACUUCUGCUAGAAAUUCUGCUUCUCCUUGAUUGGCUUCUUUGAGGCGCUUGAUUGCUGCCACUCGACGAUCAAGCAAUACACCUUUAUAUACCACUCCUCCACCUCCUCUUCCAAUCUCUUGGGUGAAACCUCGCGUGGCCUUCUUCAACUCUGCAUAGCUGAAUCUUUUAAACCCGUUUGCAACGAGGAUGUAGCCUUGCAUGGUCGAGACUGGAUCAUGGUGUACCCAAAAUAAGAAAAGCCAUACCAGCAAGACAAUUGCCCCCUCUAGAACUCCCAGUACGUAGGCAAACCACAGCAAAAACUUCAAUGACCCAUUUUCGUGGCCCUUGCGAUAUGUUGUAUCUAGCUGUAUAUAACGAGUGUUGCCUGAACAAUUUAUGGUGAAUUCUUCAAGAGGAUCAUAUCUGGGAAAGAGACUAGCUUUAGGCAGUUUUAGAUACAUGGUUCCAGGAUAAUUUGGCGAACUGAAUCCAUUAAGCAAGAGGGUCUUUGGGUAACAACCGUAAAGGCCGUCGCUAAAAUUUAGCAGGAAGGCCUUGCAUUUGCACAACUGUAAGCAUAGAUUUUCACAGCUUUCAUAGGUGUAAUUGGGGUAGUGACCAUAGUCAUAGCCGUAGAGUUGAACAUGAGGGAGUGGGAAGAAGCCCACCUCAGUUUGGUUACAAGCGAUAUCAGUUUCUGGUGCGCACCCAUAAGACCAGUCAGUUGAAUUUACAAUCUUGAAUCCAGGCAUGCAAGAGCAUCCUCUGCCAUAAGCAGGGGUGUAACUGCAGAGACUGUUGGGUCCGCAGAUGCCAUGAAUCUGGCAUGGUUGGGAGAUAGCCUGCCAUGAAACCGACCAGGUUCCUCUCGUUUCUUCUAGACUAUACAUUCUAAGAUUGCCAUCGAAAUCGAGGGCCAAUCUUCUCUGAGGCCCCGCACCAAAAUCCGCUGACCGAAAUUCCAAAUCAUCUGAUGCUCUAUAAUAACCCAAAGAAUCGAAUACUGCGAUUCGACUGUUGUUGUAUGUGCUUCUUCCAGCAUCCCAGGUCACCAGGCUUGGGUCUGGCCAGUAGAUGCUGGAAACCUCAGUACCAUUGAAGAGAAGGCGGAUGACGUUAUCACUGUCAAAAAAUAGCUUAUAAAAACCAGAAGAAUAGUUGCUUUGGCUUCUUGAGGAGAUAAGGCUGGUAUCUUUGGUCAGUAUCUGGUGAGGAAGAAGAGUAUCUGUGGGUGAGUCAAAGCUCUGCCAAAUCACCGUCUUCUCCCAAGCAUAUAGAACAAGAUUGCCGGUGUUAAGGAGCUGUAAUCUCGCAGAUGAGGUUGAAACGGUGUUGAUCAUCCAAACCAUGAUUUUACCAGCAUCAGUUAAGAGGAGAUUGCCAUUCCUCAACAAAGAAAGCUUGGAGCCUCUACCGUUGACCGGUUGGUCACGGUUCGCCAUCCAAACUGUGGUUGCACCCCAUGAUUUUGUAAACCAUAUGGCGAAGCAGAAAGUGUUGUUGCCGACCUGAUAAAACCCAGCAGAGAAUAUACCAUUUGCUGAAAUGAGAAGAUCAUUUGAUUUCUCCACGGAAAGAGACGAGCCUUCGCUCAGAGUAUCAUACGUUUCAGAUGAAGAUGGAUAGCAAGUUAAUAGCAAAGCCAAAACAAAGAAACCAACUGUCCUAUCCAUGAGUUUUGGGAUAUGGUUUAUGUGCUCUGUUUCCUGAUCAGAUAUUUGCAAUGGAGAAUGCAAGUGUACGGUGCUACCAGAGUUUAGAAAAUAAAUUGACUCCUUGACUGGGGUGAAGGGGGGAAAUUCACAUUGCCCCUCGGGCCAAGUUUUGCUUGUGCCAUCGUGUUGGGUUUCUAAAAGCAUUUCAUGUCAACGUCAAAAUAAUGGGAUGAAGACCCGCUAUUUUUAAUGGGAUCUAUUUUGAUUGGAUGACUUGGGCCAUUCAAAUUUUGUAGUUUCCACUUGGAACAACAAAAUUAUUAUGAGAUACGUCAUUUUGAAGAAAGAUUCUAGAAAUAAGAUGUUAAAUUGAUCUCUUUUCCAUGUAGCUGAACUCGUCAACUGUGAGUCUGAGCCAUAUGAUUUCUGUGCCAUACAGAAGCUUAUUGUUCCAAGUUGCCUGUUCAAAGGUUGACCUGUGAACAGUUUGGAUCCAAAUACAAUGAAUGUGAUGAAAUUUACUGAAACCGGGACUCUCUGACUGGCCUGUGGCCUUUAUGAGUUUUAUUUUAGAGGUGACGUCUGAUGUUGAUUGGCCCAAGCAGGGAAAGAUCAAAUGGGAAACGACGGUCACAACUUGUGGGGUGACUUACCAUUCACCAAGUAACACUUCAAAGAAAUUAAUCGAGCCAAUGGAUUUCACAAGUUCCCUCUUUGCAGAAUUUUGAAUAUUUAAAAAGAAUCUUAACUUUUAAAACCUAAAUUUAUAGUUAAUUUUUAGGUGUAAUUGUGUUUUGGAUGUAGUUGGACCAAAAAAAUUAAGUUUUGAUUCAUAUAAGUUUAUCAUUUAAGUCCAAUACUUAAAGAAAGUAUGAAAAUUAAAAAAAAUGAUAUGAAUUUUUUAUCUUUCUAAAAAUGAUAUUUAUUGACUAUGAAAAAAAUAAGUAGAAAAACAUUAAUUUAAAUUUUAUUCUUUUUAUAAACUUCAAUAAAAUUUAAUUUCAUUUAAUGAUUUGAAAAAAAAAACACCAUUUUAAAAAAAAUAAUAAUAAAUUAUUAUUAUUAUUAUUAUUAUUUAAAAAUCAAACAUAUUGAAAAAAAUAUAUUUUUAAAAUUAUAUAUGUAAAAAAUAACUAAAAACAUGUCAAAAUUUUUUUAAAAAUGAUAUAUUUUUAGAAUAUUUUUUUUUAAAAAAAAUAGUUUUCUUAAAAUAAUAAAUUUUCAGAAUAAUUAUUAAAAAAAAUUAAGAUAAAAAAGUUUGUCAAACAUUAUAAUAGAAAACACUCAAAAUAGUUUUGAAGGGUAUAUGAGUGUUUUCAUAUUUUAUAUCCUUCCCCUUGAUUAUGCCCAGAUAGAUCCAAAACAUUAUUAUCCCUAAUUUUUAAACGCUUAAUUAUUGCGAUUUGAGGGUAAAACAUUUUCUUUUAUUCAAUCAAGAUUGAAUUUAAAAUAAUAGCGUUGGUAUUACUCCCUCUCUUUUAUCCUUUUCUUAUUCUAUCUAAUAGUUGUUUUCUCGCCGCCUUUGUGGGCCAAGAUGAACUAAUGCUAAGAAUUUUAUUCAUCUGCUUUCUUUCAAGACUCACUUAUUGAAUAUAAUAUCUCAAUAAAUAUGGAACCUGAUUUUGAUUAUAUUGGUACAAUUAUUGAUACAACUGUUGGCUCCGCUCAUUUUGAUUAUAUUGGUACAAUUUUAUUCAUCCUAACCUCUAUGUCAACAGGACCACUAAACUUAAGAAAAAACACUAAAUUUUGAAUUUUUAACUUCUAAAAAAAAACACCCGACCCGACUACCUAAUCUAAAUGUUUUCCUUUCUCAUUUGAAAGUUUUCUCUCAUCUUUUUUCACUCAUGACAACCCAAAAUUUCUCUUAUUUCAAUUUAGAAACCCAAAACUGAAACUCCAAAGCGGUGUCAAAAUGCCUCUUUCGACAUGCCUCUGGCUGAGACGCCUCAGCUAGGCGCUUGCCUUGAGCCCUAACUACAGUUAACUCUCGUCUAGGAGCUAUGGGAGUCUAAGACAAUUCGGUAAAAACGAAAUAGAGCUCAGAUGGAGAGAGUAGAUGCCCAAAAACUAAAACCCUAACCUCCAAAUGCGUCCUAAACUCGCAAAUUCGUAUUCAAUAUAGCUUUAUCAGACAUAAAUAGCACCAAACAUCUCUCUUAGACCACCGAAUCGACAAAGCCCUUGAAGAACCAAAGGAAACGGUGCAAAAAAUGAAGCGCAGGAGACUUUUAAAGUAUUGGGUGUUGACGAACUUGUUGAUCGAACCUUGAUCGGUCACCUUUGGUAUUUUGGUGACUGCACCUUAGAUACUACCUUAACUAACCUUUGGUACUACCUUAGUUAAACUUGAAUACUACUUGUGUGAAACCUCAGAACUUCAUUUGUGGAUAUGACUCACUUCAUUUGUGACCUUUAGAGCAUGUCAUUUUGUAAUUAAUUAGUGUGGUCAAUUGGUUCACCUUUUGUAUUUUAGUGACUGUACCUUAGACAUUACCUUAAUAGCCCUAAGAUAUAACCUUAAUUUACCUUAAAUACUACCUUAAUUGACCUUAGGUACUACUUUAGUUAAGCUCAUUCAACUUUCUAAGAGCAAGUUGGUGUCCUUUUCAGUUUUAGACAUAAAAUAGGUCAACCGGUUAUCCUUUCUCGAUCAAGGUUUGGUUGAGAAUGAAGUAAGUAAUAUCCACAAAUGAAAUUCCGAGGCUUCAGAUAGGUAGUACCCAAGUUUUACUAAGGUAGUACAUAAGGUUGGUUAAGAUAGUAUCUAAAAAAAAUAUAUGCCAUGAUAAAAGAAAUCCACCAUGAUAAUCCGUUGGGAGAAAAAUCGAUAGAAAAUCGGUAAUUUCACUGAAAAAUCAACGAAAUCUCGGUGAUAAGUUGGGAUGUAUGGCAACUUUGGGCAAUCAGUGGUAUAAAAAAAAUUGUGGUGAAAUAUUAGCAACCCAUUUUUUUGGUGGCAGUUUUUUUUUUUUUUUUAAUUUUAUAAUUUAUCCUGUUUUUAAAAUUUUUAAUUAUUCAUUUUUAAUUUAUCAUUUCAUUUUUAACUAUUUUUUAUAUUUAUCACAUUAAUUUUAUUUAAAAAAAUUACUAUCACUUCACUCUUAAUUUUUCUUAUAUUUAUCCUUUUAAUUUUAUUUAAUUUUAAAUGUUUUUGUUUUAAAAUAUUAAAAAUAUAAUUUUACUAAAAAAUUGUUACAAUAAAAAAAAUUAAUGAAGUUCUAAUAUUUUAUAAAUUAAAAUUAAUUUAAUAAAACAAAUUAUUAAUAAUUUUAAUUAUUAAAAUAAAUUAAUUUUAAUAGAAAAAGUUGUCAAUAUUUGUAAUAAAAUUUUAGAAAUUAAAUCUUAAAUAAAAUAUGUUAUAUAAAUCAAUUUAAUUUUUUAUUUACAAUGUAAUAAAACAUGGUUUAAUAAAAAUAUUUUUAAAAUGUUAAAAUAAAUUAAUAUAAAUAUAUUAAAGGAAAUUAAGCUAUUUUUUUAUGAAAAUUUGAUAAAUAUUAUCUUUAAUCAUGUUUGGUAGUUACAAAAUAAUUUUAAUAUAUAUAUUUUUUUAUUUCAUCAUAUUUUUGAAAGCUUUUUAUAUGAAUUUUGAACUACUUGUGUUUGAUAUGAUAUUUUUGUCAAAAUAUUCAUCGAUAUUUAUUCGAUAUUUUCGAUAUAUCCAUAAAAUUUAAAUACCAUGUAUCCAUAUUUAACGAUAUAUUUCUAACAUUUGAGUUGAUGGGAAAUGUGAAUGAGAUUAAGAAAAAUAGAGAAUGUUGAGUUUUAAUUGGUUAUAAGAAAUGAAAUAAUUCUCAAAUCCAAAAUUUAACGAUUCCCAUAUUUUUUUUGUGGAAAAAUAACUUUUUUUUUUAUAUAUAUAUAAAUGUUAUUUUUUAUUUCAAAUAUAAUGUGAAUGAGAUUAAGAAAAAUAGAGAAUGUUGAGUUUUAAUUGGUUAUAAGAAAUGAAAUAAUUCUCAAAUCCAAAAUUUAACCAUUUCCAUAUUUUUUUGUGGAAAAAUAACUUUUUUAUAUAUAUAUAUAUAUAAAUGUUAUUUUUUAUUUCAAAUAUCUAUAUAUAAGUUUUAAAAAAAAUAAUUAUUUUUAUAAGAAAAUAAUGAGGAUAUUUUUAUCUAAAUGAUCUCAAAAAAAAAAAUACCUAAAGAUAUUUUUGUAUGAUGUCUUGUCCAUCAUAAAAAAAAUUACUCAGGGAGGGUGUAGUUUGGUAAAGAGACCGAGCUCGUGGAUGGAAGCUCUGGCCCACAUCCGAAGAUUUCAUAACGACGUAUAAAGUAUAAACUAUCCUAGGCCUUCGCUUAUAACUUCAUUUGUGUGUUCCUUCCCAGAAUUUGAUUCAAGGUUCGCCCUACAGCCUUUUCAGCUGAUCCAAUUUCAUAGAUUACAUGGAUGCGCCAGUUCUUUUGCUUCUUCUCGCUCUGCUUCUAUCUUCUCCACUUCCAUCGUCUACCCUCGACAGUUUGAGUCAAGGCUCAUCCCUAUCAGUUGGGAAGCCUGAACAAGUUUUAAUUUCACAAAGUAGAAUCUUUUCAGCCGGCUUCUACCCCGUCGGUGACAAUGCUUAUUGUCUUGCCAUGUGGUUCACCAAACCAUCCUACGACGGGAAACAUACGGUUGUUUGGAUGGCAAACCGAAACCAACCAGUUAAUGGGAAUUUCUCAAAGCUUUCCCUGCUAAAAAAUGGUGAUCUUAUCUUAACAGAUGCCGGGCGGUUCAUAGUUUGGGCCACAAAGACGGUUGGGAUUUCUCCGGUGCGAUUACAUCUCUUCAAAUAAAAUACUUGACAGUGGCAUGUUGUGUUGGACCCUUGUAGUUGUUGGUUGUACAGGGCGGAUCCGCUUGAUUAGCUUUUGUAGCAUAUUGUAAGCAUGCAUGGCUCUCAAAAUCUUAAGAGACAGAAAUGAAAUUUACUCUAAUAAUAUAUAUAGACACGUAAAGAUAAAAAUAUACUAUUAUCCUUUUUCAUAUAGUAUUGUAUCUUGUAUAGAAUACAUAAUCACUUGAAGUAAUUGUAUUACCCAAUAAAUUGUACCUAGUUUUAGUGACGUAACCAACAAUUUGAUUUAAGGGUGGCAACUAUUAAUGCAUAUAUAGGCCUUAGCUCAAUAGUCAAGACUUGUUAUUGUUAAGGGAGACAUUAUCUGUCUUGAGUUCAAAUUCUUAUAUUGUAAAAAUUGAAUCUUUUAUUUUUUAGCAUUUUCAUGAGGAGAGAUGACCCCCAUAGGCUCUAUCUGGCUCUAUGUCAAUGCCUAGUUUAUUGAUCGAUGGUGUUUGAAUCUAUUUAUUUUUUAUUCUUAACAUUUUCAAGGGGUAGGUGCCCCUUAGGCCUUACCCAGCUCUACUUGUAUCUAGUUUAUUGAUUGAUGGUGUUUGAAUCUAUUCAUUAUAAAAUUUUCUUAUUUUUUAUUUUAGUUAAUAUUUUAUUUAAAUUGUUAAGCUUGUUUUCAAUGAUUAAAAUAAAUAAAAACAGCAUGCAUUAUUAAUUUAUUACGUCAAGUACAAUAAAAUAAGAAAAUAAUAUACUUGGCUAAAUAAGUUCAUUCAAUAGUAUUUCAGAAAGUAACUUUCAAAUGAUAAGGAAGUAACAAUAUUACACAAAAAAAAAAAAGUUCUCUGAGGUUAAAUUAUAUCUUAUAUUUAAUUAUUAAUAAAAAUAGAAUAGUCAAUUGUACUUUUAUUCAUACCUCAUAUUACUAUAUUAGAUGAUAAGCCAGUAUAGAUAGAUUAAUACUAUGAUUGGUUUCAAAAAAUUAUUAAGAAAAGAAAAAGAAUAUUAAGAAAAAUAGGUUUUUAAUAUCUUAUUUUAGUAUAAAAAUAAAAAAUAAGAUAUAAUUAAAAUUAAUUAAAAACUUACAUAUUUUUAAAUUAUUUGAUAUUUAUAUAAAAAAUAAUAUAUUAACUUAAAUGAGUUUAAGAUGGUAUAUAAAAUAAUUUAUCAGCUUUAAAUUUUUUUUUUUUUUACUUUUACAUGAUACUUAAAAAGGUAUAUAAAUAGAGAAACAGUAUACUAAAUAAAAUAAUUUUAUCUAUAUAUAAAAAUAAUUUAUUAAUUUAAAAUCUAUUUUUAUUUCCUUUUAACUUUUCUUUCCUUUCUUUUUCCAUAUUUUCCAAAUACUUCACAGAGCACUCCACUCCCUUUUUUUUUUUCUUUUUUUUUUCUUUUUUACCUCAAAAUUUCAGAAACCAAACAUAAAAAUACAAACACAGGUGUAAAGUUUGUAUCUUUGUGAAACUCAUGUAAUCCUGACCCAUGGGAACCUUCCCAUACAAUUAAUUUCCUGCAAAGGAAGGCGGCAGCAACAUGUCAUUGGGUGAGCGUCUUAGGAGACAAAAUCUGACCAGCGGUUGAAGGAAAAAUGCACAAUUUAACUUAUCUGUGGAAGCUUGCCCAGCUGGGUCGUUUUCCAAAACACGAGGCUGCAGCUUGGAACCUGGGGCAUUCAUAUUCCAUCAUCAUCAUUAUUAACAUUUUUAUUCCAUCUAGCUUUCACCUUCCCAUGGGAAUUGCUACCAUCCGCACAAGUCAAGAGCGACUUUGUCUUUUCCAUAAAUAUUAGUAUUAUUUGUGUGUUCCUUCCCAGAAUUUGAUUCAAGCUCAGCCCUACGGCCUUUUCAACUGAUCCAACUUCAUAGAUGACAUGGAUGCGCCAGUUCUUUUGCUUCUUCUCACUCUGCUUCUAUCUUCUCCACUUCCAUCGUCCACCCUCGACAGUUUGAGUCAAGGCUCAUCCCUCUCAGUUGGAAAGCCUGAACAAGUUUUGAUUUCACAAAGUGGAAUCUUCUCAGCUGGCUUCUACCCCGUCGGUGAUAAUGCUUAUUGUCUUGCCAUAUGGUUCACCAAACCAUCCUACGACGGCAAACAUACCGCUGUUUGGAUGGCAAACCGAAACCAACCAGUUAAUGGGAAUUUCUCAAAGCUUUCGCUGCUAGAAAGUGGUGAUCUUAUCUUAACAGAUGCUGGGCGGUUCAUAGUUUGGACCAUAAAGAGGGUUGGGAUUUCUCCGGUGCAAUUACACCUCUUCAACACUGGUAACCUUGUGCUGCGUACCUCGGAUGGUGUUAUUCAAUGGCAAAGUUUCGAUUCACCAACAGAUACCCUUCUCCCUCACCAACCACUCACCAGAAAUACGAGACUCGUCUCUUCAAGAACCAAAACCAACUUUUUCUCAGGGUUUUAUAAGCUCUAUUUUGACAACAAUAACGUCCUCAGUCUUGUCUUCGAUGGGCGGGACGCUUCAAGCAUUUACUGGCCCCCAUCGUGGCUUGUAAGCUGGCAGGCGGGAAGAUCGGCAUACAACAGCAGCAGAACUGCAUUACUAGAUAACUUUGGCUAUUUUUCUUCAUCCGACGAUUUUAAGUUUCAGUCCUCGGAUUUUGGUGAGAGAGUCCAAAGAAGAUUGACCCUGGAUAUUGAUGGCAACUUACGAUUAUACAGUUUUGAGGAAAGGAGAAAUAAGUGGGUUGUUACUUGGCAAGCCAUCACGCUACAAUGCAACAUUCAUGGAAUAUGCGGACCCAACAGUAUUUGUACCUAUGUGCCUGGUUCUGGGAGUGGAAGGAGAUGCUCUUGCAUACCUGGAUAUGAGAUGAAAAAUCGCACUGACCGAACUUAUGGAUGCAUACCUAAAUUCAAUCUUUCUUGCGACUCACAGAAGGUUGGUUUCCUCCUACUCCCACACGUUGAGUUCUACGGCUAUGAUUAUGGCUAUUACCCCAAUUACACCUUACAGAUGUGUGAAAAACUGUGCUUGGAAAUAUGUGGCUGCAUAGGAUAUCAAUACAGCUAUAAUUCGGAUGUUUAUAAAUGUUAUCCUAAGCGGCUGUUGCUCAACGGAUACCGCUCGCCUAGUUUUGUAGGACAUAUAUACCUAAAAUUGCCUAAAGCUAGUCUUCUUUCCUAUGAAAAACCGGUUAAGGAAUUCAUGUUAGAUUGCUCUGGCAACCGCUCAGAGCAGCUAGUAAGAUCUUAUGCAAAAGCCCACGAAAAUGAAGUGUUAAAGUUCAUCCUCUGGUUUGCGUGCGCAAUUGGAGCAGUUGAGAUGGUUUGCAUUUGUAUGGUGUGGUGUUUCUUGAUGAAGGCCCAGCAAAACACCAGUACAGAUCCGCCAGGCUACAUUUUAGCUGCCACGGGAUUCAGAAAAUUCACCUAUACUGAGCUGAAGAAAGCAACACGGGGUUUCAGUGAGGAGAUUGGCAGAGGAGGAGGUGGGGUUGUAUACAAAGGUGUCUUAUCAGACCACCGAGUGGCAGCCAUCAAGCAGCUCAGUGGAGCUAACCAAGGAGAAUCUGAAUUCUUGGCAGAAGUAAGUACCAUUGGGAGGCUUAACCACAUGAACUUGAUAGAGAUGUGGGGUUAUUGCUUUGAGGGGAAGCACAGGCUCUUGGUUUAUGAAUACAUGGAGCAUGGAUCACUAGCACAAAACCUCACUUCCAAUACACUUGAUUGGCAGAAGAGGUUCGACAUUGCGGUGGGCACAGCAAAAGGCCUGGCUUAUUUACACGAAGAGUGCUUGGAGUGGGUUCUACACUGCGAUGUGAAGCCUCAAAACAUACUCCUAGACGUUAAUUAUCAGCCAAAGGUGGCAGACUUCGGCCUGUCAAAGUUACAGAACAGAGGAGAAAUCAACAAUUCGAGAUUGUCGAGGAUCAGAGGAACAAGAGGUUACAUGGCUCCAGAAUGGGUUUUGAACCUCCCCAUCACCUCCAAAGUAGACGUUUAUAGCUAUGGUAUUGUGGUUCUGGAGAUGGUUACCGGCCGAAGGAGUGCUUCAAUGGCCAUCCACGGUACAGAUGGCAUAGGGGAACGUCAGAGUUUGGUGGCAUGGGUGAAAGGGAAGAUGAAUGGAGCAACUGCGGUUGCUUCGUGGAUGAAAGAAAUCCUAGACCCGUCGAUGGAAGGCGAAUAUGACAUGGGUGAGAUGGAAAUUCUAGUAGCAGUGGCUUUGCAAUGUGUGGAAUUGGACAAGGAUGAAAGACCCACCAUGAGUCAGGUGGUCGAGACGCUUCUCCGCCCCGAACGUGGAAACAAUCAUCACUACUAAUAAAUUAAUGCCUCGUAUGGGGCCCAAGUGAGGUGGCUUUCUGUACCUGUUCCGCCCAUUUAUGAUAUUUGUAAAAAGACAGUAAUUUUAAGUAGAAUAAUUGAGAAGCCGAAUCUUUUGAUACAACAUACAAUAUAAUUAUAUUGAAGUAUCUUUUUAAAAGAUACAACUUGGUUAUAAAUUUUAAUGUCAAUCUUCUCGAAUGUUAAGUAAAAAAUUGUUUAAUUUUUUUAGAAAAUCUUUAAUAUUAUGUCACUAUAUUUAAAGUAUUUUUUAAGAGGUUAUCAAAAUUUGAUAUUAUUUUUUAAUUCAAAUUUAUAAUUAUAAUUUAUAAAUAGUUUUUUAAUUAUUAUAAAAUACCGGACUUCUUACUAGAUCAAUUAGAAUGGACGAUCAUCUAUUCCUCUAUAUCUCUUCAAUAUUGUUGCUAUCCUCCUCCCAACUUUAUAUAAAAUAAAAAUUUUACUAAUAAAUAUUACAUGGAAUUUUGUUCCCAAUAUCUCUCCUUCGUACUCUUAUCUUAUUAAACUCUUCUUUUACAAUAUUAAUUGAUAUAUUUUAGGUAUUUGUAUGUUAGUGAAUUAAUUUAAAUAUCGUAGGUUUUGACUUUUGGGACAACCAUUUUAGAGAGCUCAUACAUCACGCACUACCACCUCAACCUUCUUUGACAUUCAUUUAUUUAUUUUUAUUACCUUUCGAUCGGUGAUAUCAUUGCUUAGGAACAAUAAUUAUUGUGAAGGCAUUUUAUCUUUUUCGUUUACCCAAGAAUAAUCAUACUAAUAUAAACAAAUAAUUUUGAUCAUGCACAAAUAAAUAUAUUUUUAUAAAAUUUAGAUUUAAUUUUUUAGUAUAUGACAUAGAUUCUUCUUCUUCUCCUUUGCUAAAUCUCAUGUGGUUGGAUUUGGAGCAUCGACUGUACGUAUUAUUCAAUUGUGAAAGACAAAUUUCAUUGAGUUGAAAGACCAAUGGGCCAUGGACGCAAUGCUUGCUUCACUUAAUUUUUUAAAACUCGUUUUUAGUAGUACAAAUUUUUUUAUUAUAUAAAGUAUUGAUGUUAUUAUCUUUUUAUAUUAAUUUUAUUUUUCUUCCAUUUUUUAUAUUGAUUUUAUAAAAACAUAUCUUGGGAUAUUAUUUCACUAAAAACAUAUCAUAUGCAUAACCGUUUAACAUGCAAUUUUUUCAUACAUAAUCAAAGAUAGACUUUUUUUUCCUUUUACUUUUUUUCCUUCUUUUUUUUUUUUUGGUAUUUUGUCGUAAACAAACACGGUCUUAGAAUUUAAUCACAAACAAAGUAUUAUGUUACUUUUAAUCAAAUUUAAGGACUUGGCAUGCCUGUCAUGUACUUUAGACACAAAUGAAAAGUUUGAGGUCUCCUAUUGAAAAUUUAAUUCAUUCCAGUAUACCAUAUUAUUAUUAUUAUUAUUAUUUUGGUGAUCAUGGGUAUAAAUAUUACUAGGAAAAAAGGCAAAUUGACGUAAUAGAAGGCCUAACGGCUCAUGUUUUGUAUUUAUUUAAAUUAGUAUUUAUUAAUCAUUUAUUGAUGUGAUAAAAAAUUUGUAAUUCAAAAUUUGAUUUUAUCAAGUGAAGUACCCGAUAAACAGAAACGGAGGAACCUAAAGGGAGGGAAAAAAAAAAGGUGAAAUGAAGACACAUCCAAAAACCCUAAUGGCCUAUUGUCACACCCUCGAAAAUCACCUUAAAUUUUUCUUACGAGUGCGUGGUGCUAAGGACCCGUCCUUAGCCAACCUUCCCUUCCCAACGUUUAGAAGAACAGAAUAGAAUACAGAAAUCAAAGCAACAGGGACACACGAGGUUGCAGGAAAAUCCUUUCCCAACUUGUAUUAAUCACUCUUACAAGACAAAAUUGCUUCUUGAACUAGAGUACAAUGCACUUACCCAAGGCAUACAAGAAGGAAUCCUUUCCCCAACUCUCACCCUCUGUUUCAAGGCUGCAGGAGCCCUAUUUAAAUGACUCAUCUACAGUUACACAUUUGAAUUCCCUCAAUUCAAAUCUUGGAGCCAACUAGGUGGUCAUGCAACUGGCCAGAACUGCCCUCAACUGCUUGCACAACCACCCACUGUGGAUUCGGCUCCUUGCGACACGUGGCAUCGCGCAUUUCACCCGGACGGAAAUUCUCCCUUAUUCCACCCGAAUAUCUCAUAUCCGGAAUUCUGUCCGCUGACGUUCCACUCGGAUAUCUCACAUCCGGCGCCUGUCCGCCGCCGUUCCACUCGGAUAUCUUACAUCUGGCGCCUGUCCACCGUUGUUCCACCCGAAUAUCUCUCAUCCGACGCCCCAUGUCAUCGGAUAGGAGAGGAGGACGAUUCAACUUCCCCAGGUAGACAUGUCCGAAUCCUUUGGUAACGCCUAUUCGGGGUGCGCGCAUGACUUGUCCACGAUCCCCACACUUAGCUCCUGGGGUUUGAACCACAAAACCUCCAGGCUUUCCUUGCUUUCCACCUAGGCUCUCAUAGGUGCAAGACCUACCCAUGAGGCUUAUUUCUCCGGGUUUGAAUCAAGUGGAUAAGGGGUUGACACAUAUCCCCUAAAAAUUCUAGCUUUAGAAUUAUUGUCCUAGAAGAAAAAGACGAGCAAGUGUUUUCUCACAUCAUGGAGUUACUAUAUAACGUUAAAAAACUAAAGUAUUGUUUGUUUUCUUAAUUUUUUAUUUCGGUUUUUUUUAAACCUUUCAUUAACUUAUUAUUUACUUCUUAAAUUUUUUUAUUAAAUAAAAAAUUUUAAAUAUAUAAAAUUUUUAAAUAUUGAAAAUAAUUCAUUAAUUUUUCUUUACUUAUUUAAUAAAAAUAAAAUAUAAAAAAUGAACAAUUUAAUACUUAAUAUUAUUAAAUACUAUUUAAUUUUAAAUUUUAUUUAAAAUUAAGUUAAAAAGAAACACCAUUUAAAUGUCUUCAUUGUGUGUUGGACAUUAUCAACUCUACUCUUUUAUAAAAAAAUUUAUUUUAGGAAAUUUUAGUUUCCAAAUGAAGUAGGUUUAUAAACAUAUCAAUUGCCUUAAAUUUAAUUGAAAUAAAUAAACAAUAAAAAAACACUUGAAUUGAUUAAGGAACAAUUUUUUUAUGCCAAGGGAAGAUGGUGGUGAUAUAUUGAUUUGAGUAAGGAUUUCAUAAUUUCUCAAAAGAAAGAGAAAGAGGAAAAAGCAAGAUUUAUUAAAAGAUAGAUACAUUAGGAUAUCAUAUUCGAAUUUAGUAUUUUUGUUUUCUCUUCUUUAUAAAACUAAAUAAUAGAAAUCAAAUACUUUUACCAACUUCGCAUACUGCACCGUUUCGUUUUUCACUUCGUCUAAUUUUACCUUCAAUUCAUUUGUUUCCUAUUUUAUUUCUUGAAACAUGUAUUGACUAAAGCCUCUGUACCAAUGUUUCAGGACAUGGAGAGGUAGCCGUCCUCCUCCGGCCUCUCCUCCGGUCACAUAAGCUUCUCAACUAUCUGGCUCAUCGUGGGUCUUGAGUCCCUGUCUUCCUCCACACAUUCCAAGGCAACUCCAAUCAGAAUUUCCAUCCGGCGCAGGUCGCAUUCGCCUUGCAUCACAGGGUCCAGGAUGUCUUCAAUCCACGACCCCCUGGCACCAAUCCCAUUCAUUCGAUCCCUCACCCAUUUAAUCAACCCACGCUGCUCUGUCUCUCCUUGGGCAUCAGUAUCGGGGAUAGCAGUUGGGCUCUUCCCUGUCACCAUCUCCAAAACCACGAUUCCAUAGUUAUAAACGUCUACCUUGGAGGUUAUGGGAAGGUUGAAUACCCAUUCAGGAGCCAUGUAUCCUCUGGUUCCUCUGAUCCUCGAGAAACUUGAAUUGUCAAGCCCUCCUCUGUUUCGCAGUUUCGACAUCCCAAAAUCGGCCACUUUUGGCUGGUAAUUAGAGUCCAAGAGUAUGUUCUGAGGCUUGACGUCACAGUGCAGAACCCACUCCAAGCAUUCUUCGUGUAAAUAAGCUAGGCCUCUGGCCGUGCCAAGCGCUAUUUGGAACCUCUUCUCCCAAUCAAGAGUAUUGGAAGAUAGCUUUUGUGCCAAGGAUCCAUGUUCCAUGUACUCAUACACCAACAGCCGGUGCUUCCCCUCUAUGCAAUAUCCCCACGUCUCUAUUAAGUUCAUGUGAUUAAGCCUUCCAAUGGUGCUCACUUCUGCUAGAAAUUCUGCUUCUCCUUGAUUGGCUUCUUUGAGGCGCUUGAUUGCUGCCACUCGACGAUCAAGCAAUACACCUUUAUAUACCACUCCUCCACCUCCUCUUCCAAUCUCUUGGGUGAAACCUCGCGUGGCCUUCUUCAACUUUGCAUAGCUGAAUCUUUUAAACCCGUUUGCAACGAGGAUGUAGCCUUGCAUGGUCGAGACUGGAUCAUGGUGUACCCUAAAUAAGAAAAGCCAUACCAGCAAGACAAUUGCCCCCUCUAGAACUCCCAGUACGUAGGCAAACCAAAGCAAAAACUUCAAUGACCCAUUUUCAUGGCCCUUGCGAUAUGUUGUAUCUAGCUGUAUAUAACGAGUGUUGCCUGAACAAUUCAUGGUGAAUUCUUCAAGAGUGUUGGAAAUCAAGCCAGCAUCCUCUGUUUACUUCCCUAAUUAGUGUAAUGUACAGCCUUUAUUAUAAUUGAUUUAGGAGUAAUUCUAGCAAGGUAGUUUAUUCACUUUCCAUGUAAGAGUAGUUUAUUCACUUCCCAUGUAAGAGUAGUUUAUUCACUUCCCAUGUAAGAGUUUAUUCACUUUCCAUGUAAGGGAAAUUCCAUUCCGGAAUUGUCUCAUAUCUGUAGGCUAUUUAUUUAUGCUUUCAUUCAUUGUAAAGGGUGAGAUCACGGAAUGAAUUGAGGUGUUCCUCCAUAGUUUGUCUUCAAAUUCUUCAUAUUUUUCUUCAAAUUCUUCAAAGAUGAUCAUAUCUGGGAAAGAGACUAGCUUUAGGCAGUUUUAGAUACAUGGUUCCAGGAUAAUUUGGCGAACUGAAUCCAUUAAGCAAGAGGGUAUUUGGGUAACAAUCGUAAAGGUCGUCGCUAAAAUUUAGCAGGAAGGCCUUGCAUUUGCACAACUGUAAGCAUAGAUUUUCACACCUUUCGUAGGUGUAAUUGGGGUAGUGACCAUAGUCAUAGCCGUAGAGUUGAACAUGAGGGAGUGGGAAGAAGCCCACCUCAGUUUGGUUACAAGCGAUAUCAGUUUCUGGUGCACACCCAUAAGACUAGUCAGUUGAAUUUACAAUCUUGAAUCCAGGCAUGCAAGAGCAUCCUCUGCCAUAAGCAGGGGUGUAACUGCAGAGACUAUUGGGUUCGCAGAUGCCAUGAAUCUGGCAUGGUUGGGAGAUAGCCUGCCAUGAAACCGACCAGGUUCCUCUCGUUUCUUCUAGACUAUACAUUCUAAGAUUGCCAUCGAAAUCGAGGGCCAAUCUUCUCUGAGGCCCUGCACCAAAAUCCGCUGACCGAAAUUCCAAAUCAUCUGAUGCUCUAUAAUAACCCAAAGAAUCGAAUACUGCGAUUCGACUGUUGUUGUAUGUGCUCCUUCCAGCAUCCCAGGUCACCAGGCUUAGGUCUGGCCAAUAGAUGCUGGAAACCUCAGUACCAUUGAAGAGAAGGCGGAUGACGUUAUCACUGUCAAAAAAUAGCUUAUAAAAACCAGAAGAAUAGUUGCUUUGGCUUCUUGAGGAGAUAAGGCUGGUAUCUUUGGUCAGUAUCUGGUGAGGAAGAAGAGUAUCUGUGGGUGAGUCAAAGCUCUGCCAAAUCACCGUCUUCUCCCAAGCAUAUAGAACAAGAUUGCCGGUGUUAAGGAGCUGUAAUCUCGCAGAUGAGGUUGAAACUGUCACGCCCCAAGACCCACUCCAAGGGCGUGACGGUCAUUUCACACCUCAAACCCGAAGGCUUAAAGUAUAAUCUGACCCGAACAAUCAUAUUAUAACUAGAUGUUACCAAUUACCAAAUACCUGUUCAGAGUAGCAGAACAAAAUCUAAAUUCCUCAAAAUUCAAUUUCCAAAUAACUUCCAAAUAUCAAAUGAUCCAAAUGAACAUAACUAACAGUUAAACAAAAUCCAACAUAAAAUCCUAAGUCAAAUCUUAAUGAUGACCAUUCUUCAGCCUAGCCAUCACUCCUCACCCGAACUAAGAGUACCUGAAAAUUUUCAACAAUUGGGAAUGAGCUCACAGCCCAAUAAGGAAUAUUAAUGCAAUUCAUGGAUCAAAUAUUUUCAUUUCAAAUAGGAGAUAUCAAUUUUUUUUUUUCUCAUCAAAUAUCAGAGUUCCAAAAAUACCAAUAUAUUCAAAAUUCAACCAACCAAUUUCAUAUCAAAUUCAAACACUUUCACAUAAAAUUCAAUCAAAUUCAUUCAAGUUUCAUUACUCUGGUUAUCAAAUAUCAAAUGCCCAGUUAGGUGGGACUUUUCAAAUGGGUGGCUAGCCUCAAAUUGUUCCUGGUGGACGGAACCUAAACACNNNNNNNNNNNNNNNNNNNNNNNNNNNNNNNNNNNNNNNNNNNNNNNNNNNNNNNNNNNNNNNNNNNNNNNNNNNNNNNNNNNNNNNNNNNNNNNNNNNNCCGAACUAAGAGUACUGAAAAUUUUCACAAUUGGGAAUGAGCUCACAGCCCAAUAAGGAAUAUUAAUGCAAUUCAUGGAUCAAAUAUUUUCAUUUCAAAUAGGAGAUAUCAAUUUUUUUUUUUCUCAUCAAAUAUCAGAGUUCCAAAAAUACCAAUAUAUUCAAAAUUCAACCAACCAAUUUCAUAUCAAAUUCAAACACUUUCACAUAAAAUUCAAUCAAAUUCAUUCAAGUUUCAUUACUCUGGUUAUCAAAUAUCAAAUGCCCAGUUAGGUGGGACUUUUCAAAUGGGUGGCUAGCCUCAAAUUGUUCCUGGUGGACGGAACCAAACACUACUAGUACUAGUAACCUCUAACCAAACCCCUAGAGGCUGGGGUCCAAAUCAAUUACAUUCCCACCAUGAAAUGUAAAGGUCAACUAUUAUAUCCCGUUGAUAGGGCCGAAUAGUCAAUUAUUAUAUCCCGUUGACAAGGGUCAAAUAAACCAGAGUGAUGUUUUUGUUCAAGUUUUCAAAUUUACACAACAUAAUAUCUCCAUAUUUUGUGUCAUAAAUAAAACAAAAUAUUCCAACAUAACAUUUAGUGCAAAACAAUUUGAUCCAUGCAUGGUAACAAAAUAUCAUUUUCUUUUCCACAAUUCAAAAUAACAUAUAAGAUAAUUUAAUUUUAUAAAUAUUACAUUAACUUCCCUUACCUCAAAAGAAGUCCUUGAAAGCUUGGGAGAAGAAUAAUUCUGAAAAAAAAAAUAUAAUCUACUCUUCACCUAAUAUAACAUAAAAGAAACAAUUAUUACUAUUUAUUUAUAAUUUAACUAAUCUAUUCCUUAUUAAAAAAAAAUUAAAAAAUUCCCAAUUGGUUUUUAAUAUACCAUUACUAAUUUAAUUAAAUAAUACCUUUAUUUGGCUAUAAAAUUCUAUAUUUAUAUAUUUAUAUAUGGCUAAUUUUCUUUUUCUUUUUUUACCAAAAAUACCAUUUUUAUUUUUUUUUUAUUUAAAAAUUUAAAACUAAUUUUUUUUUUUUAAUUACCCAAUUCCAACCCAUCCACCUUGGGGUACACCAAACCAAAAAGCAAGUUUUUAUUUUUAUUUUUUAUUUUUUUUUCAUUCCCAACCAGGAUCCAUUAAUAUAUAUAUAUAUAUAUAUAUAUAAAAGGGGCUUCCUGGCACACGCACCUUUUUUUUUUUUUUUUAAUAAAAUUAACCCUAACCUAAAAUCAAAACCUUCCAAGAAAUUUUUUUUUUUUUCUAAUAAAACUUAAGAUCUCCCAAAUUCCAAUACUAAAAUCAAAAUAUUAAAUUUUCACUAUUUGAUAUUAAAACGAAUUAAAAAAAUAAUCUAACCCUAAUCUAGAUUUGGGGUUUUCCAAAAAAAUAUAUCUAAUGUGUUUGAAAUUAAUCAAUGAAUCUAAAAUAUUAAACUAGGGGUUAGAAUCUUACCUAUAGAGAUCUGUUCUUCAACCCUGAAAUCUGACUCCAAUCUUACGUUCUCUGGAAUUCUACGAACAGGAAAUCUAUUCAGAAAAAAAGGGAAAAAAAUAAAAUUUCUAAUUUAUACCUAGGGUAUUUAUUCGUAAAAUUACACUUUUACCCUUCUUCCACUUUAUUAAAUUAAUUAAUUAAUUAAUUUAAUUAUUAAUAACAAUUUCCUAAAUUACCCUUAAAAGAAAAUGCUUGGGCAUUACAUCCUCCCCUCCUUAACAAAAGUUUAGUCCUCUAAACUUGACAUACCUGAGUCUUGAAAUAAUUGAGGAUGUUUUUCUCUCAUCUCUUCUUCUAACUCCCAAGUGGCCUCUCGGAUACUAUGAUUGCUCCACUGGACCUUUACCAACUUGACAACAGCAUGUCGUAGUACCUUAUCCAUCAUAUCCACAAUUUGAACGGGUACCUCUUCAUAGGUCAAGUCCUCAAAAUUUUGAAUAGGCUCCAACUCCACAACAUGAGAAGGAUCAUAAAUAUACUUCCUUAGAGUCGAAACAUGAAACACAUUAUGAACCUUAGACAAGCUUGGGGGCAAGACUACUUUAUAUGCCAAAGUGCCUACUCUUUCUAAUAUUUCAAACGGACCCACAAAACGAGGACUAAGUUUUCCUUUUCUCCCAAAUCUCAUCACAUACUUCAUAGGUGAAACUUUCAAGAACACAUGAUCACCCACCUCAAACUCCAAAUCUCGCCUACGAUGAUCAGCAUAACUCUUAUGUCUACUUUGAGCUGCUUUUAAUAUUUCUUUAAUCAAAGCAACCUUUUCAACAGUCAACUGCACAAGUUCAGGCCCCAAAAGUUUCCUUUCUCCAACAUCAUUCCAAUAGAUAGGAGAUCGACAUUUCCUACCAUACAAUGCCUCAAAAGGUGUCAUCCCAAUGCUAGCUUGAAAACUAUUGUUAUAGGCAAACUCUACUAAAGGUAAAUGAUCAUCCCAAUUACCUUGCAGGUCCAAAAUACAAGCUCUCAACAAGUCUUCCAAAACCUUAAUUACCCUUUCUGAUUGGCCAUCAGUUUGAGGAUGGAAAGCAGUACUAAAACUCAACUUAGUGCCCAAAGUUUUUUGUAGACUAUGCCAGAAUCUAGAAGUGAAACGAGGAUCUCUAUCAGACACUAUAGAAACUGGUACUCCAUGCAUUCUCACAAUCUCCUUCACAUAAAGAGAAGCUAAACGAUCUAAAGAAAAGUUCACUUUCAUAGGUAAAAAGUGAGCAGACUUUGUCAACCGAUCAACAAUCACCCAAAUAGCAUUAUUACCCCCUAAGGUUCUUGGCAAUCCUAUCACAAAAUCCAUGGUAAUAUGCUCCCACUUCCACUCAGGAAUAGCAAGUGGCUGCAAAGACCCUGCUGGUCGUUGAUGUUCAGCCUUCACCUGUUGACACACUAAAUACUGAGCCACAAAUUGUGCAAUAUCACGCUUCAUACCUGACCACCAAUAGUUUUGCCUCAAAUCCUUGUACAUCUUUGUCCCUCCUGGGUGGAUUGCAAACUUGGAACAAUGAGCUUCCUCUAAAAGCUCCCUCUUUAAGUCUUCAUCAUUUGGGACACAAAGUCUAGUCCCAAAUCUCAAGAUCUCAUCAUCUGACAAAACAAAAUCAGGCUUACUGUCCCUCUUAACUUCCUCCAUAACUUGCACUAAUUGGGAAUCAUUCUUUUGUAGGGUCUUAAUUCUCCCAACUAAGUCUGGUUGUACUCUGAAAUUUGCUACAAGUGCUCCUAAGCCCAUAACUCGAAAGUGGACUUGUAAACUCCUCAACUCUUCAAGUAACUGCCUUUGACAACCUCUAAUAGCUGCUAGAGAACCAACUGACUUCCUACUCAAGGCAUCAGCUACAACAUUCGCCUUCCCAGGAUGAUACUGAAUAAUACAAUCAUAGUCCUUAAGUAGUUCUAUCCAUCUUCUCUGUCUUAUGUUCAACUCCUUUUGGGAAAAUAGAUACUUCAAACUCUUAUGAUCUGUGAAUAUCUCACAAGUUUCACCAAAAAGAAAAUGUCUCCAAAUCUUAAGUGCAAAAACCACAGCAGCUAACUCCAAAUCAUGAGUAGGGUAAUUCCUUUCAUAAGGCUUCAACUGUCUAGAAGCAUAAGCUACAACUCUCCCAUGUUGCAUAAGAACACAACCUAAACCCUGAUGAGAAGCAUUACUAUACACCACAAAUCCUCCUGAACCUGAAGGGAUAGUCAAAAUAGGAGCUGACACUAAUCUAUUCUUCAACUCUUGGAAGCUACAUUCACAAUCAUCAGACCACUCAAACUUAACUCCCUUCUGUGUCAACUUAGUUAAAGGUAGGGCAAUCUUAGAGAACCCUUCUAUAAACCGCCUAUAGUAACCAGCAAGUCCCAAGAAACUUCGAAUCUCAGUCACAGUACUAGGUCUUCUCCAAUUAGCUACAGCAUCUACCUUGCCAGGGUCAACUGAGAUGCCAUCAUUGCUUACCACAUGCCCAAGGAAAGAAAUUCAGUCUAACCAAAACUCACACUUCUUCAGUUUAGCAUACAACUGCUUAUCUCUGAGGAUAUGUAAUACAAUACUCAAAUGGCCCUCAUGCUCCUCUCUACUUCUUGAGUAUACCAAGAUGUCAUCUAUAAAAACCACCACAAAUUGAUCUAAAUAGGGUUUGAAUACCCUAUUCAUCAAGUCCAUAAAAGCAGCAGGUGCAUUAGUCAAACCAAAAGGCAUAACAAGAAACUCAUAGUGCCCAUACCUAGUUCGAAAAGCAGUCUUGGGUACAUCUUCCCCUCUAACCCUCAACUGGUGAUAACCCGAUCAAAGAUCUAUCUUAGAGAACACACAAGCACCUUGUAACUGAUCAAACAAAUCAUCAAUCCGAGGAAGGGGAUACUUGUUCCUCACUAUCACCUUAUUCAACUCCCUAUAGUCAAUGCAAAGUCUCAUUGAGCCAUCCUUCUUUUUCACAAAUAGAACAGGAGCUCCCCAAGGUGAAACACUAGGCCUGAUAAAACCCUUGUCUAAUAACUCUUGAAGCUGAACUUUCAACUCCUUAAGCUCCACAGGUGCCAUCCUGUAUGGGGCCUUAGACAUAGGACCUAUUCCUAGUACUAGAUCAAUGGUGAACUCCACCUCUCUCUCUGGUGGCAAGCCAGACAAAUCCUCUGGAAAGACAUCAGGAUACUCUCUUACUAUAGGUAUGUCUUCCAACUUCAAAUCACUUUCAUUACUCACCAUACUAGCCAAAAAUCCUUGGCAACCCUUCUUAAGCAAGCUACUAGCACGCAAGGCUGAGAUCAUACGCAGUGGUCUGUCCACAUGCUUCCCUUCAAAGCUAAACUUAGGCUGACCAGGAAUACUAAAUGUCACUCUUUUCUCAAAACAGUCAACAGAGGCAUGGUAGGAAGCUAACCAAUCCAUACCCAAAAUCACAUCAAAAUCCUGAAGGUCAAGGAGUACUAAAUCAACUGGCAUUUCCCUAUAACCAAUCAUCACAAUACAAUUUCUAAGCAUUCUACUGGCCACAACAGAAUCUCCCACAGGAGUAGCAACAAUCAAAUCAAAGUCCAUGCUAACAACAGGCAAACCCAACAAACCAGCAAAAGAUACUGAAACAAAAGAGUGUGUUGAUCCAGGAUCAAUCAGACUCUAGCAAAUAAGGUGUGGAUUCGGAGAGUACCUGUCACCACAUCAGAAGUGGCCUGAGCAUCUCGAUGAGUCAUAGCAAACACCCGUCCUUGGGCUUUGGGUUUCUGUUUUAUCUCCUUAUUUUCCUCUUUAAGCUUCCCAGUGAUGAACUUACCUAUUCCUCUGAUCAAAUGUCCUUGCNNNNNNNNNNNNNNNNNNNNNNNNNNNNNNNNNNNNNNNNNNNNNNNNNNNNNNNNNNNNNNNNNNNNNNNNNNNNNNNNNNNNNNNNNNNNNNNNNNNNGUGAUAACCCGAUCGAAGAUCUAUCUUAGAGAACACACAAGCACCUUGUAGCUAAUCAAACAAAUCAUCAAUCCGAGGAAGGGGAUACUUAUUCCUCACUGUCACCUUAUUCAACUCCCUAUAGUCAAUGCAAAGUCUCAUUGAGCCAUCCUUCUUUUUUACAAAUAGAACAGGAGCUCCCCAAGGUGAAACACUAGGCCUGAUAAAACCCUUGUCUAAUAACUCCUGAAGCUGAACUUUUAACUCCUUAAGCUCCAUAGGUGCCAUCCUGUAUGGGGCCUUAGACAUAGGACCUGUUCCUGGUACCAGAUCAAUGGUGAACUCCACCUCUCUCUCUGGUGGCAAGCCAGGCAAAUCCUCUGGAAAGACAUCAGGAUACUCCCUUACUAUGGGUAUGUCUUCCAACUUCAAAUCACUUCCAUUACUCACCACACUAGCCAAAAAUCCUUGGCAACCCUUCUUAAGCAAGCUACUAGCUCGCAAGGCUGAGAUCAUACGCAGUGGUCUGUCCACAUGCUUCCCUUCAAAGCUAUACUUAGGCUGACCAGGAAUACUAAACGUCACCCUUUUCUCAAAACAGUCAACAGAGGCAUGGUAGGAAGCUAACCAAUCCAUCCCCAAAAUCACAUCAAAAUCCUGAAGGUCAAGGAGUACUAAAUCAACUGGCAUUUCCCUAUAACCAAUCAUCACAAUACAAUUUCUAAGCAUUCUACUGGCCACAACAGAAUCUCCCACAGGAGUAGCAACAAUCAAAUCAAAGUCCAUGCUAACAACAGGCAAACCCAACAAACCAGCAAAAGAUACUGAAACAAAAGAGUGUGUUGAUCCAGGAUCAAUCAAGACUCUAGCAAAUAAGGUGUGGAUUCGGAGAGUACCUGUCACCACAUCAGAAGUGGCCUGAGCAUCUCGAUGAGUCAUAGCAAACACCCGUCCUUGGGCUUUGGGUUUCUGUUUAUCCUCCUUAUUUUCCUCUUUAAGCUUCCCAGUGAUGAACUUCCUAUUCUCUGAUCAAAUGUCCUUGCUUCCCACAACCAAAGCAAGCUCCAGUCUCUCUAUAGCAUGGCCUACCCCCAUGCUUCUUACCACAAGUAGGACAAGCCCCAUCUAAAUUCUGCGCUGCCUUCCCUUUAUUCUGAUUUCUUCCUGAUGUAGACCUUCGCUGUGCUUGAUUACCAUGAGCACCAUCACUCCUAUUUCGCUUCCUUUGCUGUUCCCUAUACUGAUGAAGCUCUUCAUUAUCUUUCUCUGUUAUAAGGGCUCUGUCAACAACCUCUGAAUAGACACCAAGCUUCAGAAUAGAUAUCUUGUUCUUCAAAUAAGGCUUCAAUCCAUCCUGAAACUUUAAUGCCUUUUCCUCCUCUAUAGCAAUCAACUGUGGGGAAAAACGUGAUAACUUUGUAAAUUUGGCCUCAUACUGAGCCACAGUCAUAUCCCUCUGUUCCAAACGAAUAAACUCUCCCACCUUCUGCCACCUAACACUGUCAGGGAAAUACUUCUUGUAGAAAGCCUCCCUAAAUUGUCUCCAUGUUAUGGGUCCCUGAUCCUCCAAAAGUCUCUUAGUCAUACGCCACCAAUGAUCUGUCUCUUUAUCUAACAUAAAAGCUGCAUAAGAGGCUUUUUGCUCCUCAGAGCAAUCUAUGACACCAAAGAAUUUCUCCAUCUUAAGGAUCCAAGCCUCUGCCUCUGUGGGAUCUGUAGCACCAGAAAAGUAAGGAGGACCCAAUUUCUUGAAGUCAUCAAAAGAGCUACCCCUAGAAGAUGAAGACUGUCCCUGAACAUUAGUCCCAACAGCUCGAGCUUGGCGUUCAACUAAACCAACUAGUGUCCCAAGAUACCUAUAGAUCCCUUCUGCACUCACGGGAGGCAAACCCUCAAUUGGAGGUACAUCGUCAUUAGCCUGACUGUUUUGUGAAGAAGUUGUUCUUCUUGGUGGCAUGAUGUCCUAAAAUAAUAAGGCAUAACUAAAUUAGUCACUAAAGAACCAAUUAGAAAAUUUUCCAAUUAAAGAAAGAAUUGGAAUUUAUACUAAAUGAAACUAAAACUUAAACAAAUGCGUUACUCAUCUAUCCCUAAUCUAAACCAAUUCAAAUUCCCAUCAAGAUCAAAACCUAGUGCUCUGAUACCACUCUGUCACGCCCCAAGACCCACUCCAAGGGCGUGACGGUCAUUUCACACCUCAAACCCGAAGGCUUAAAGUAUAAUCUGACCCGAACAAUCAUAUUGUAACUAGAUGUUACCAAUUACCAAAUACCUGUUCAGAGUAGCGGAACAAAAUCUAAAUUCCUCAAAAUUCAAUUUCCAAAUAACUUCCAAAUAUCAAAGAUCCAAAUGAACAUAACUAACAGUUAAACAAAAUCCAACAUAAAAUCCUAAGUCAAAUCCUAAUGAUGACCAUUCUUCAGCCUAGCCAUCACUCCUCACCCGAACUAAGAGUACCUGAAAAUUUUCAACAAUUGGGAAUGAGUUCACAGCCCAAUAAGGAAUAUUAAUGCAAUUCAUGGAUCAAAUAUUUUCAUUUCAAAUAGGAGAUAUCAAUUUUUUUUUUUCUCAUCAAAUAUCAGAGUUCCAAAAAUACCAAUAUAUUCAAAAUUCAACCAACCAAUUUCAUAUCAAAUUCAAACACUUUCACAUAAGAUUCAAUCAAAUUCAUUCAAGUUUCAUUACUCUGGUUAUCAAAUAUCAAAUGCCCAGUUAGGUGAGACUUUUCAAAUGGGUGGCUAGCUUCAAAUUGUUCCUGGUGGACGAAACCAAACACUACUAGUACUAGUAACCUCUAACCAAACCCCUAGAGGCUGGGGUCCAAAUCAAUUACAUUCCCACCAUGAAAUGUAAAGGUCAACUAUUAUAUCUCGUUGACAGGGCCGAAUAGUCAACUAUUAUAUCCCGUUGACAAGGGUCAAAUAAACCAGAGUGAUGUUUUUGUUCAAGUAUUCAAAUGUACACAACAUAAUAUCUCCAUAUUUUGUGUCAUAAAUAAAACAAAAUAUUCCAACAUAACAUUUAGUGCAAAACAAUUUGAUCCAUGCAUGGUAACAAAAUAUCAUUUUCUUUUCCACAAUUCAAAAUAACAUAUAAGAUAAUUUAAUUUUAUAAAUAUUACAUUAACUUCCCUUACCUCAAAAGAAGUCCUUGAAAGCUUGGGAGAAGAAUAAUUCUGAAAAAAAAAUAUAAUCUACUCUUCACCUAAUAUAACAUAAAAGAAACAAUUAUUACUAUUUAUUUAUAAUUUAACUAAUCUAUUCCUUAUUUAAAAAAAAACUAAUAAAUUCCCAAUUUGUUUCUAAUAACACAUUACUAAUUUAAUUAAAUUAUAACUUUAUUUCGCUAUAAAAUUAUAUAUAUAUAUAUAUAUAUAUAUUGCUAAAUCUCUUAUUCUAUUUAUUACAAAAAUACCAUUAUUACUAUUAUCUUAUUUAUAAAUCUAAAACUAAUUAUUAUUAUUUAAUUAACCAAUUCCAAACCACUCAACCUCGGGUACACCAAACCAAAAAGCAAGUUUUUAUUUUUAUUUUUUAUUUUUUUUCAUUGCCAAUCAUGAUCCAUUAAUAUAUAUAUAUAUAUAUAAAAGGGGCUUCCUGGUACACGCACCUUUUUUUUUUAAUAAAAUUAACCCUAACCUAAAAUCAAAACCUUCCAAGAAAUUUUUUUUUUUUUCUAAUAAAACUUAAGAUCUCCCAAAUUCCAAUACUAAAAUCAAAAUAUUAAAUUUUCACUAUUUGAUAUUAAAACGAAUUAAAAAAAUAAUCUAACCCUAAUCUAGAUUUUGGGUUUUCCAAAAAAAUAUAUCUAAUGUGUUUGAAAUUAAUCAAUGAAUCUAAAAUAUUAAACUAGGGGUUAGAAUUUUACCUAUAGAGAUCUGUUCUUCAACCCUGAAAUCUGACUCCAAUCUUACGUUCUCUGGAAUUCUACGAACAAGAACUAUAUUCAGAAAAGAAGGGAAAAAAAUAAAAUUUCUAAUUUAUACCUAGGGUAUUUAUUCGUAAAAUUACACUUUUACCCUUCUUCCACUUUAUUAAAUUAAUUAAUUAAUUAAUUUAAUUAUUAAUAACAAUUUCCUAAAUUACCCUUAAAAGAAAAUGCUUGGGCGUUACAGAAACGGUGUUGAUCAUCCAAACCAUGAUUUUACCAGCAUCAGUUAAGAUGAGAUUGCCAUUCCUCAACAAAGAAAGCUUGGAGCCUCUACCGUUGACCGGUUGGUCAUGGUUCGCCAUCCAAACUGUGGUUGCACCCCAUGAUUUUGUGAACCAUAUGGCGAAGCAGAAAGUGUUGUUGCCGACCUGAUAAAACCCAGCAGAGAAUAUACCAUUUGCUGAAAUGAGAACAUCAUUUGAUUUCUCCACGGAAAGAGACGAGCCUUCGCUCAGAGUAUCAUACGUUUCAGAUGAAGAUGGAUAGCAAGUUAACAGCAAAACCAAAACAAAGAAACCAACUGUCCUAUCCAUGAGUUUUGGGAUAUGGUUCAUGUGCUCUGUUUCCUGAUCAGAUAUUUGCAAUGGAGAAUGCAAGUGUAUGGUGCUACCAGAGUUUAGAAAAUCAAUUGACUCCUUGACUGGGGUGAAGGGGGAAAAUUCACAUUGCCCCUCGGGCCAAGUUUUGCUUGUGCCAUCGUGUUGGGUUUCUAAAAGCAUUUCAUGUCAACGUCAAAAUAUGGGAUGAAGACCCGCUAUUUUUAAUGGGAUCUAUUUUGAUUGGAUGACUUGGGCCAUUCAAAUUUUGUAGUUUCCACUUGGAACAACAAAAUUAUUAUGAGAUACGUCAUUUUGAAGAAAGAUUCUAGAAAUAAGAUGUUAAAUUGAUCUCUUUUCCAUGUAGCUGAACUCGUCAACUGUGAGUCUGAGCCAUAUGAUUUCUGUGCCAUACAGAAGCUUAUUGUUCCAAGUUGCCUGCUCAAAGGUUAACCUGUGAACAGUUUGGAUCUAAAUACAAUGAAUGUGAUGAAAUUUACUGAAACCGGGACUCUCUGACUGGCCUGUGGCCUUUAUGAGUUUUAUUUUAGAGGUGACGUCUGAUGUUGAUUGGCCCAAGCAGGGAAAGAUCAAAUGGGAAACGACGGUCACAACUUGUGGGGUGACUUUCCACUCACCAGGGAACACUUCAAAGAAAUUAUCCCUAAUUUUUAAACGCUUAAUUAUUGCGAUUCGAGGGGUAAAACAUUUUCUUUUAUUGAAUCAAGAUUGAAUUUAAAAUAAUAGUGUUGGUAUUACUCCCUCUCUUUUAUCCUUUUCUUAUUCUAUCUAAUAGUGGUUUUCUCGCCGCCUUUGUGGGCCAAGAUGAACUAAUGCUAAGAAUUUUAUUCAUCUGCUUUCUUUCAAGACUCACUUAUUGAAUAUAAUAUCUCAAUAAAUAUAGAACCAUAUUUUGAUUAUAUUGGUACAAUUAUUGAUACAACUGUUGGCUCCGCUCAAGUCAUUUUGGCGUGGACUUUUAGGGUAUGGUAGAGUGGAGCUUGUAUCACUACUAAUUAUUAAAAUGGUUAAAGGAUGUCUUUGUCAUUUUAGUGCACAUAUAAUUAUUAUUACAAUUGAGGGUCCUCCAAUAUCCCAUUUUUCCAAUUUUGACUUUUGAUCGGAAAAAAUUUAGUAUACAAGGAUAGGAAAAUAUGCUAAAUAAAAUAAUUUUCUCAUAUUUAGGUUUAUUAAAAAUUAUAAAAAAUAAUAUAAUAUAAUAUAAUUAAAAAGUUAUGUAUUUUUAAAUUAGAUAAUUUUUUUAUAAAACAAUUAAAAUAAGUUAAAUGAGUUUGAAAUUCCAUAUAAAAAUAAUUUAUUGAUUUAAAAUCUAUUUUUAUUUCCUUUAACUUUUUUUCAUAUAUUUUUUUUUUGAAUUUUUCAAAUACUUCAAACAGCUAUUUUUAAGUUUGUAUCUUUGUGAAACUCGUGUAAUCGUGACCCAUGAGAACCUUCAAGUCAUUUUGAUUAUAUUGGUACAAUUAUUGGUACAACUGUUGGCUCCGCUCAAGUCAUUUUGGCGUGGACUUUUAGGUUAUGGUUGAGUGGAGCUUGUAUCACUACUAAUUAUUAAUAUGGUUAAAGGAUGUCUUUGUCAUUUUAGUGCACAUAUAAUUAUUAUUACAAUUGAGGGUCCUCCAAUAUCCCAUAUUUCCAAUUUUGAUUUUUCAAGGUAUGAUCGGAAAAAAUUUAGUAUACAAGGAUAGGAAAAUAUGUUAAAUAAAAUAAUUUUCUUAUAUUUAGUUUUAUUAAAAAUUGUAAAAAAUAAUAUAAUAUAAUAUAAUUAAAAAGUUAUGUAUUUUUAAAUUAGGUAAUUUUUUUAUAAAACAAUUAAAAUAAGUUAAAUGAGUUUGAAAUUUUAUAGAAAAUUAAUUUAUUGAUUUAAAAUCUAUUUUUAUUUUCUUUAACUUUUUUUCAUAUAUAUUUUUUUUUUUGUAUUUUUCAAAUACUUCAAGUAGCACCCCAUUUCCUAUUUUCAAGUUUGUAUCUUCGUGAAACUCAUGUAAUCGUGACCCAUGAGAACCUUCAAGUCAUUUUGAUUAUAUUGGUACAAUUAUUGGUACAACUGUUGGCCCCGCUCAAGUCAUUUUGGCGCGGACUUUUAGGGUAUGGUUGAGUGGAGCUUGUAUAACUACUAAUUAUUAAUAUGGUUAAAGGGUGUCUUUGUCAUUUUAGUGCACAUAUAAUUAUUAUUACAAUUGAGGGUCCUCCAAUAUCCCAUUUUUCCAAUUUUGACUUUUCAAGGUCUGAUCGGAAAAAAUUUAGUAUACAGAGAAAAUAUGAUAAAUAAAAUAAUUUUUUCAUAUUUAGUUUUAUUAAAAAUUGUAAAAAAAUAUAUAUAUAAUUAAAAAGUUAUGUAUUUUUAAAUUAGGUAAUUUUUUUUUAUAAAACAAUUAAAAUAAGUUAUAUGAGUUUGAAACUCCAUAUAAAAAUAAUUUAUUAAUUUAAAAUUUAUUUUUAUUUCCUUUAACUUUUUUUCUUAUAUUUUCUUUCGUAUUUUCCAAAUAUUUCAAAUAGCACUCUAUUCCCAUUUUCAAGUUUGUAUCUUUGUGAAACUCAUUUAAUCGUGACCCAUGAGAACCUUCCCAUAACUACAAAGGAAGGUGGCAACAUAUCAUUGGGAGAGUGUCUUAAGAGCCAAAAUUUGACUAGCGGUUGAAAGGAAAAUGCACAAUUAUUGUAGUGGACAAAUACUUUUAACCUCAUUUGUGGAAGCUAGGUUGUUUUUACAAGGGAAACUUGUGUUCCAAGUUAGAUAUUUGAAAGUAAUAUUAUAUUCAAACCCCAAUUAGCUGGAAUAUGAGAUUUGACUAUUAAAAGAGAAAAUAUUAUUGUGUUUGUGCAUUCUAAGUUGGCUCUAUCUUCUAUGCCCAAAUUGCCCUUUUGUUUCUCUAGCUCAACAUCAUCCUAACCUCUUUGUCAACAGGACCACUAAAAUUAAGAAAAAACACUAAAUUUUGAAUUUUUAACUUCUAAAAAAAAAAACACCCGACCCGACCACUUAAUUUGAAUGUUUUCCUUUCUCAUUUGGAAGCUUUCUCUCAUCUUUCUUCAUUCAUGACAACCCAAAAUUUCUCCUAUUUCAAUUUAGAAACCCAAAUCUGAAACUCUAAAACGGUGUCAAAAUGCGUCUUUUGACGUGCCUCUGGCUCAGAUGCCUCAGCUAGGCGUUUGCCUUGAGCCCUAACCGUAGUUAACUCUCGUCUAGGAGCCACGAGAGUGCAAGAGAAUCCAAUAAAAAUGAAAUGGAGCUCGGGUGGAGAGUAGAUGCCCAAAAACUGAAACCUUAACCUCCAAAUGCGUCUUAGACUCGCAAAUUCAUAUCCAAGAUAGUUCUAUAAGACAGAAAUAGCACCAAACAUCUCUUUUAGACCACCGAAUCGACGAAGCCCUUGAAGAACCAAAGGAAACGGUGCAAAAAAUGAAGCGCGGGAAACUCUUAAAGUAUUGGGUCUUGACAAAAAGAAUAUUAAGAAAAAUAGGUUUUUAAUAUCUUAUUUUAGUAUAAAAAUAAAAAAAUAAGAUAUAAUUAAAAACUUGUAUAUUUUUAAAUUAUUUGAUAUUUAUAUAAAAAAUAAUAUAUUAACUUAAAUAAGUUUAAGAUAGCAUAUAAAAUAAUUUAUCAGCUUUAAAUUUUUUUUUUACUUUUACAUGAUACUUAAAAAGGAAUAUAAAUAGAGAAACAAUAUACUAAAUAAAAUAAUUUUAUCUAUAUAUAAAAAUAAUUUAUUAAUUUAAAAUCUAUUUUUAUUUCCUUUUAACCUUUCUUUCCUUUUUUUUUUUUUUUUUCCAUAUUUUCCAAAUACUUCACAUAGCACUCCACUCCCUAUUUUUUUUUUCUCUCUAAAUUUCAGAAACCAAACAUAAAAUACAAACACUGGUGUAAAGUUUGUAUCUUUGUGAAACUCAUGUAAUCUUGACCCAUAGGAACCUUCCCAUAUAAUUAAAGGAGAAUUACCCAAUAGGGUGGGCUUGGUAAAACAAUUACUAGAAAUGGUAGUCUCUUCUAAUAAUUCUUGGGGAGGAUUUUAAUAGGUUUAAUAUACCAAAACUGUCAUUUAACUAAAAUUUUUAAAAUUCAAAGUAUUUAAAGCACUUCACUUGAUUUGUCGAUACAAUUAUAGUACAUGAGUCUCAUAUUUAUUGUAAUUAUUAAUAUUCAAAUUUUAAAUCAAAAUUUUGGGUUUAACCUUUACAAUUAUAUAUAAUUUGUUAUUUAAAUUUACUAUUUAAAACAAAAAUACUUUUAAAAAGUAUUUUCAAAAUAUCAUUUAUUGUUUUUUUUACAUUUUUUAUUUUUAUUCUAAUUUUUAAUUUUAUUAAGAAAAAAAUAAGUUUUAUAAUUAUAUAAUAAAAAUGAUGAUUUUUUCAUAUAUAUAUAUGUAUAUAUUAUAAUUUUAAAUUGAUAAAUUAUGUUUUUGUUUUAAAUUCAAGGAAGAUAAAAUGUUUAAUUUUUCAUUCAGAUUCUUUAAAAAGAAUAAGAAAAUGAUAGAGAAUGUUUAAUAAUUUUUUAUUUUUAUAAUAAAAUAAUUUUAAAAAAUUUAUAUGAUUUUUUUUCCUUUGCAUAGUGUUUUUUUUUUUUUCAUAUAAAAUUUUUUUUCUCAGUACAUCGACUGGAUGAUGUUAAUAUAUUUGAUAUGUUGAAUAUUAAUAAGGUAUAAAAGGUGAUCAUCGAGAUUAUUACUUUUAUUAUAAAAUAUAGGUACAACAAAAAUAUGUUAUAAUUACCAUAUAAAUACACUUACAUUACAAUAAAACCUAAUUAGGAAAUUUUUGAAUUUUUUUAUAAAAAUGAUAAUUUGGUAAGAUCAUACCAUAUUUUAUAACAUACCUAUAUCAUAAAUAAUUUCUGAAACCAAAUGAAAUACUAAUUUGAAUUCACGAGACUUGUAGUUUAUAUAUAUAAAUGAUUAAAUAAUUUCAAAACACUAAAUAAAUGUUGUUAAUAUAUUGAUACGAUGCGUUAAUACCAACGGGGUAUGAAUAAACAUUUUUAAAAUUAUUCCUUUUGUAAUUAAAUAUAGAUAUGACAUAAAUACAUUAUACUUACAAUAUAAAUACGUGUUAUCAUUACAAUAUAUUACAAUAUAAUUUAAUUUAUUUUUAUUUAAUUUUUUCAAGUGUUAUAUUAUCCAAUGAAUAAUUGUGAGUUAUUCUAUUUAAUAGGUGUGUGUUAAUCAAUUGAAUAUUUACAUAUUAUUCAAUUGAUGAGUGCUCGUAAAAAAUAAUUAUUCAUUAUAUUAUGAUAACAAAGUUUUUAAUUAUAUGUUUUAUAUAUAAAACAAUAUAAUAAUUUUAGGAUAUGGUUUUUAUUUAUGAGAUAAUGAAAAUUAUAUUUUUUUAUAAGGUUCUUUAUAAAAUAUAGCAAAUUUUUAAAUAAUCAUUUGAUUGUUCAAAAGUUAAUAAUAAUUUUUUUAAGCUGAGAAAUAUAUUAUUGAUUACUUAUCAUCAUGCAUGAAUUCCACAACAAUCUCAAUUUAUUUAUAAAUAAUAUAAAAACAUAUUAUAGGUAAAAUUAUCUAUAACCGAGAGAGCCUUCAUAAUAAUUAGUUUUUUGGGCUACCCUGUUCGGUAAUUCUCCGUACAAUUAAUUUCCAGCAAAGGCAGGUGAGUGUUGAGGAGACAAAAUCUGACCCGCUGUUGAAGGGAAAAUGCACAAUUAUUGAAGUGGACGGAAACUUUUAACCUUAUCUGUGGAAGCUGGGUCGUUUUUCAAAACACGAGGCUGCAGCUUGGAACCUGGGGCAUUCUAGCUUUCAUCUUCCCAUGGGAAUUUCUACCCUCCGCACAAGUCAAGAGCAACUUUGUCUUUUCCAUAAAUAUUAGUAUUAUUUGUGUGUUCCUUACCUGAAUUUGAUUCAAGCUUAGCCCUACGGCCUUUUCAACUGAUCCAAUUUCAUAGAUCACAUGGAUGCGCCAGUUCUUUUGCUUCUUCUCACUCUGCUUCUAUCUUCUCCACUUCCAUCGUCCACCCUCGACAGUUUGAGUCAAGGCUCAUCCCUCUCAGUUGGGAAGCCUGAACAAGUUUUGAUUUCACAAAGUGGAAUCUUCUCAGCUGGCUUCUACCCCGUCGGUGAUAAUGCUUGUUGUCUUGCCAUAUGGUUCACCAAACCAUCCUACGACGGCAAACAUACCGCUGUUUGGAUGGCAAACCGAAACCAACCAGUUAAUGGGAAUUUCUCAAAGCUUUCCCUUCUAGAAAGUGGUGAUCUUAUCUUAACAGAUGCUGGGCGGUUCAUAGUUUGGACCAUAAAGAGGGUUGGGAUUUCUCCGGUGCAAUUACACCUCUUCAACACUGGUAACCUUGUGCUGCGUACCUCGGAUGGUGUUAUUCAAUGGCAAAGUUUCGAUUCACCAACAGAUACCCUUCUCCCUCACCAACCACUCACCAGAAAUACGAGACUCGUCUCUUCAAGAACCAAAACCAACUUUUUCUCAGGGUUUUAUAAGCUCUAUUUUGACAACAAUAACGUCCUCAGUCUUGUCUUCGAUGGGCGGGAUGCUUCAAGCAUUUACUGGCCCCCAUCGUGGCUUGUAAGCUGGCAGGCGGGAAGAUCGGCAUACAACAGCAGCAGAACUGCAUUACUAGAUUACUUUGGCUAUUUUUCUUCAACCGACGAUUUUAAGUUUCAGUCCUCGGAUUUUGGUGAGAGAGUCCAAAGAAGAUUGACCCUGGAUAUUGAUGGCAACUUACGAUUAUACAGUUUUGAGGAAGGGAGAAAUAAGUGGGUUGUUACUUGGCAAGCCAUCACGCUACAAUGCAACAUUCAUGGAAUAUGCGGACCCAACAGUAUUUGUACCUAUGUGCCUGGUUCUGGGAGUGGAAGGAGAUGCUCUUGCGUACCUGGAUAUGAGAUGAAAAAUCGCACUGACCGAACUUAUGGAUGCAUACCAAAAUUCAAUCUUUCUUGCGACUCACAGAAGGUUGGUUUCCUCCCACUCCCACACGUUGAGUUCUACGGCUAUGAUUAUGGCUAUUACCUCAAUUACACCUUACAGAUGUGUGAAAAACUGUGCUUGAAAAUAUGUGGCUGCAUAGGAUAUCAAUACAGCUAUAAUUCGGAUGUUUAUAAAUGUUGUCCUAAGCGGCUGUUUCUCAACGGAUGCCGCUCGCCUAGUUUUGGAGGACAUACAUAUCUAAAAUUGCCUAAAGCUAGUCUUCUUUCCUAUGAAAAACCAGUUGAGGAAUUCAUGUUAGAUUGCUCAGGCAACCGCUCAGAGCAGCUAGUAAGAUCUUAUGCAAAAGCCCGCGAAAAUGAAGUGUUAAAGUUCAUCCUCUGGUUUACGUGCGCAAUUGGAGCAGUUGAGAUGAUUUGCAUCAGUAUGGUGUGGUGUUUCUUGAUGAAGGCCCAGCAAAACACCAGUACAGAUCCGCCAGGCUACAUUUUAGCUGCCACGGGAUUCAGAAAAUUCACCUAUAUUGAGCUGAAGAAAGCAACACGGGGUUUCAGUGAGGAGAUUGGCAGAGGAGGGGGUGGGGUUGUAUAUAAAGGUGUCUUAUCAGACCACCGAGUGGCAGCCAUCAAGCAGCUCAGUGGAGCUAACCAAGGAGAAUCUGAAUUCUUGGCAGAAGUAAGUACCAUUGGGAGGCUUAACCACAUGAACUUGAUAGAGAUGUGGGGUUAUUGCUUUGAGGGGAAGCACAGGCUCUUGGUUUAUGAAUACAUGGAGCAUGGAUCACUAGCACAAAACCUCACUUCCAAUACACUUGAUUGGCAGAAGAGGUUCGAUAUUGCGGUGGGCACAGCAAAAGGUCUGGCUUAUUUACACGAAGAGUGCUUGGAGUGGGUUAUACACUGCGAUGUGAAGCCUCAAAACAUACUCCUAGACUCUAAUUAUCAGCCAAAGGUGGCAGACUUCGGCCUGUCAAAGUUACAGAACAGAGGAGGAAUCAACAAUUCGAGAUUGUCGAGGAUCAGAGGAACGAGAGGUUACAUGGCUCCAGAAUGGGUUUUGAACCUCCCCAUCACCUCCAAAGUAGACGUUUAUAGCUAUGGUAUUGUGGUUCUGGAGAUGAUUACCGGCCUAAGAAGUGUUGCAAAUGCCAUCCACGGUACAGAUGGCAUAGGGGAACGUCAGAGUUUGGUGGCAUGGGUGAAAGGGAAGAUGAAUAGUGCAACUGCAGUUGCUUCGUGGAUUGAAGAAAUCCUAGACCCGUCGAUGGAAAGCCAAUAUGACAUGGGUGAGAUGGAAAUUCUAGUAGCAGUGGCUCUGCAAUGUGUGGAAUUGGACAAGGAUGAAAGACCCACCAUGAGUCAGGUGGUCGAGACGCUUCUCCGCCCUGAACGUGGAAACAAUCAUCACU
rnacentral:lncRNA from 1 species